rnacentral:tRNA from 1 species
UCAUGAAAAGUUUUUAAAACGUUAGAUUGUGGAGCUAAAAAGGGAGAAAUCCUUCAUGAA